AUGCCGAUGAGGAUUUUGCUGCCGGCGCGCCCGAGCCGCGUUCGGUGGUUCCUGGCGAUACUCUUGUUGGUGGUGGCGGUUGGCUCGCUGCUGUUGGAAGGAGGUGCGCUGGAAUCCUCGGAAAUAAGCUCGAUGUCUUCCCUGGUAUGCAGGAAUCCCCUUCGCUUGCUCUCGCCGACGGCAGUCACCAUGGUGGUGGUCAAGUCGACGGGGACUGGUAUGAAGACGGCUCUUGCGACCGGUUCCAGAGCAAAUCAUCGAUGGUGCUUGAGCUUUGGCGCUCCCGGCGGACAGCCGGCUUGCAGCGCCGCCGCGCCACCGAAUCCUCUGGCCAAAGGGCGGCCAAACCUCUUCCUCCUAGCCUUGAAGCUAUAUGGGAGGCAGUGCUACUCUAGCUCGAUGUUCACGGCUUGCUGCGGUGAAGAACUCGUCGGACCAAGUGGUGAUGUCCCCGGCGCCGGCGAGUUUGGAGUCGAUCGGGAGUGGCUUGGACCUGAUUGCGUUCCUCUUCAGAUCUUUGGGGUCCUUUCUGCAUAUUUCAGGGACUGCGUUGUAAUUUUCAGUUUGUUGUGUGUCCUGUUGCUCUGGCUUGUACUACCGUAUUGUAACAUCAAAUAA
rnacentral:rRNA from 1 species